GAGGGUAUAGCUCAGAGGUAGAGUGCAUGCCUAGCAUGUGCGAGGUGCUGGGUUCAAUCUCCAGUACCUCUA
rnacentral:tRNA from 1 species